rnacentral:rRNA from 1 species
GAGGAACACAAUGACGGGUCCCGAGGAAUCAGCAUUGGCUUACUUCGGGCCAACAACCGCGGGAAAGCGGAGGGAGCAAGGUUUUACCGGAAAUAUUGGGGGUAAAGGGGUCGUAGGGGGCUCUUCAAGUUUGCCGUUAAAAUCAGUGGGUUAAACAUUGAAAGGCGGUGGAAACUGAAUAGCUAGAGUGUGGUAGGGGUAGAGGGAAUCCCCCUUUAACCUUGAAAUCGUAGAGAUUGGGAAGAACCCCGGUGGCGAAAGCGCUCUUAUGGGGCACAAACUGCCAUUAAGAGACGAAGC